UACGGUAGGGUGCAAGCGUUGUCCGGAAUUAUUGGGCGUAAAGAGCUUGUAGGCGGUUUGUCGCGUCUGCUGUGAAAUUUCGGGGCUCAACCCCGAACUUGCAGUGGGUACGGGCAGACUAGAGUGUGGUAGGGGAGACUGGAAUUCCUGGUGUAGCGGUGAAAUGCGCAGAUAUCAGGAGGAACACCGAUGGCGAAGGCAGGUCUCUGGGCCACUACUGACGCUGAGAAGCGAAAGCAUGGGGAGCGAACAGG
rnacentral:rRNA from 1 species